rnacentral:rRNA from 1 species
CCUACGGGGGGCAGCAGUGGGGAAUAUUGGACAAUGGGCGAAAGCCUGAUCCAGCCAUGCCGCGUGUGUGAAGAAGGCCUUCGGGUUGUAAAGCACUUUCAGUGGGGAAGAAAGCCUUGGGGUUAAUACCCUCGAGGAAGGACAUCACCCACAGAAGAAGCACCGGCUAACUCCGUGCCAGCAGCCGCGGUAAUACGGAGGGUGCGAGCGUUAAUCGGAAUUACUGGGCGUAAAGCGCGCGUAGGCGGUCUGAUAAGCCGGUUGUGAAAGCCCCGGGCUCAACCUGGGAACGGCAUCCGGAACUGUCAGGCUAGAGUGCAGGAGAGGAAGGUAGAAUUCCCGGUGUAGCGGUGAAAUGCGUAGAGAUCGGGAGGAAUACCAGUGGCGAAGGCGGCCUUCUGGACUGACACUGACGCUGAGGUGCGAAAGCGUGGGUAGCAAACAGGAUUAGAUACCCGUGUAGUC